UGUGUCUCCCUCUCCCCCUCCCCCUCAUGUAUUUCUUGUUACUCCUUGUUUUCACAACGCUGAAAUGGUAGCAGUGUCGAGAACAUUUGGAAGAGUGACUCAAGAGGAUGUUCAACAGUAGUGGCUAUUAAAGUUAGACAUACUUCAAUCAGCAGAUAACUUACAUCCUGAGUUUUAGAAGAGCUGACUGAAGCACGCCCUGGACCAAUACUGUUAAUUUUCAAUAACUCUUGGAACACUGGGGACGUUUGAGAAGAAUGAAAGAAAACGAAUGUUAUGCCAGUAUUUUAAAAGGGAUUAAGAAGAUUUGACCCCCAUAACCUCCCUUUGGCUAGAACAUCUGAUUUUGUGGUGUAAUACAGGACUUUCCUUGAUGGGUGAACUCCCAACAUGGACAUAGAUAUGCUCAGGACCUUGGGCAGCAGGUGGUCUGAGGCUUUACCAUGCAUGGCAGCUCUCCCUGUGGUUUUGGAGUUUUCAUUACUGCUGCUCUCUGACUGAAGAGAGCUAUAUGCCUGGACUGCUGUUACUUACACAUCUGCCUAUUCAAGUCUAUCUUAAUGGAUGUAAUUCAGGUUUCUAGCCUGAUGGCCCAUUGCUACCUCUUAAUCCUUGCUUUCAUCUAGCAAUCUGUUUUACAAGCCUCUCAAUACACUAAAGGAUUUGAUAUAGCCACUAUGGCUAUGUCUACACUACACUUCCUAUGCCAGCUUAGCUAUGUAUUCUUCCAUUUAAAGACCCAAACAGUUAUAUGUAACAAAAAAAACCAAAAAACAUAAAAAGUUACCUAAACAAAAUUGAAAGUGAUUUUGCUACUCUUCCUUUGUUAUGGAGCGGGAAGAAACUUGCUGGGUUCAGACUGUGUGGAUUUCACAGAACUUGAUUUGAAUUUUCAACUUAAUAUAAACCAAAGGAGAAAAGGCAAAACUCAAAAUGAAACUGCUACAUUUCAUUAAA